rnacentral:rRNA from 1 species
CCUACGGGUGGCAGCAGUGGGGAAUAUUGGACAAUGGGCGAAAGCCUGAUCCAGCCAUGCCGCGUGUGUGAAGAAGGCCUUCGGGUUGUAAAGCACUUUCAGUGGGGAAGAAAGCCUUGGGGCUAAUACCCUCGAGGAAGGACAUCACCCACAGAAGAAGCACCGGCUAACUCCGUGCCAGCAGCCGCGGUAAUACGGAGGGUGCGAGCGUUAAUCGGAAUUACUGGGCGUAAAGCGCACGUAGGCGGUCUGAUAAGCCGGUUGUGAAAGCCCCGGGCUCAACCUGGGAACGGCAUCCGGAACUGUCAGGCUAGAGUGCAGGAGAGGAAGGUAGAAUUCCCGGUGUAGCGGUGAAAUGCGUAGAGAUCGGGAGGAAUACCAGUGGCGAAGGCGGCCUUCUGGACUGACACUGACGCUGAGGUGCGAAAGCGUGGGUAGCAAACAGGAUUAGAUACCCUGGUAGUC